rnacentral:rRNA from 1 species
CCCGUCACACGUCACGAAACGUGGCCGUACUAGAAGUCCGGUCGUAGCUAACUCGCAAGAGAGGCAGCCGCCCAAGGUACAGCUCAUGAUUGGGGUG